GCUUUUAUAGUGUAUAGCAUGAAAAAUUUUCAAUUUUUCGGAGUAAUUUUUAAUUAAAAUUAUUAAAAGUA
rnacentral:tRNA from 1 species